rnacentral:rRNA from 1 species
GUGGGGAAUAUUGGGCAAUGGGCGCAAGCCUGACCCAGCAACGCCGCGUGAAGGAAGAAGGCUUUCGGGUUGUAAACUUCUUUUACCAGGGACAAAACAAAUGACGGUACCUGGUGAAUAAGCCACGGCUAACUACGUGCCAGCAGCCGCGGUAAUACGUAGGUGGCGAGCGUUAUCCGGAUUUAUUGGGUGUAAAGGGCGUGUAGGCGGGACAGCAAGUCAGAUGUGAAAACCAGAGGCUCAACCUCUGGCCUGCAUUUGAAACUGUUGUUCUUGAGUGUCGGAGAGGUAAUCGGAAUUCCGUGUGUAGCGGUGAAAUGCGUAGAUAUACGGAGGAACACCAGUGGCGAAGGCGGAUUACUGGACGAUAACUGACGCUGAGGCGCGAAAGCGUGGGGAGCAAACAGGAUUAGAUACCCUAGUAGUCC